rnacentral:lncRNA from 1 species
AGAGAGUGGAGAGAGAACAAUAAUUUCACUGUUUUCACCUUAUCUUCAGGAAGACACCAUCUCUUGCAGGAAAACAGAUUUUCAGGGAGCCAGGAGGCCCUGGACAAAGCAAAGACUGCGUUUGGUUGGCCAAACAAGUGAAUCCAGAAGGGACUGGAUUCCCUUAGUCUUGUCAGAGCUGGUCUUAGUCUUGUCAGAGCUGGUCUCCCUAUUUGUCUGGUAUUUGUGAUUGGCCAAGUAUUUGGAGACCCUGCCUGCAGGUAUCUUUUCAACCUUUGGCCUUUGACCUUGUGUUUCCCAGGUUGCUGCGCAGUGCUCAGCUCCCAGCGCUCACCAAUCCUGCAGCAAACACUCUCAGAGCAGCCCCUGAGGGCCACCCUCUGCCAGGUGGAGGUACAGACGCAACUAAGACACCAAGGAGCUCCAGGCGUCCGCCUUUCCUGGCUCAGUGGCCCCUGACACAUGAGGUGGGCUCUGAGCCGCUCUGCCCCAGCUCUGCCGGGACACUUGGCUGUCCCCUGAGUGCCCACAAAUCUCCCACCUAAAGAAGGACUUCGUAGAGACUUCAGCAAGACCCCACUCCACUGGCAGAGGGAAAAGAGUGCAUUGCAUGUUCAGCGGCCCAAGGCGGAGACGAACUGAUGGAGAGAGCUGCAGCCUGCCGGUGAACUGAUGGAGAGAGCUGCAGCCUGCCGGUGAACUGAUGGAGGGAGCUGCAGCCUGCUGGUGAGACGGUGUGGGGGGCUCAGCUGAGCCAGAAAAGCGGACAUUGGAAAGAAGAGAUGAGGGAAGAACACACAGCCUCUUGCAAAGGUACCGUAAUC